UAAGCCUGCGAAGGUGGCCUGUGAGGGUUGCUGGAGGUAUCAGAAGUGCGAAUGCUGACAUAAGUAACGAUAAAGCGGGUGAAAAGCCCGCUCGCCGGAAGACCAAGGGUUCCUGUCCAACGUUAAUCGGGGCAGGGUGAGUCGACCCCUAAGGCGAGGCCGAAAGGCGUAGUCGAUGGGAAACGGGUUAAUAUUCCCGUACUUGGUGUUACUGCGAAGGGGGGACGGAGAAGGCUAUGUUGGCCGGGCGACGGUUGUCCCGGUUUAAGCGUGUAGGUGUGUGUUCCAGGUAAAUCCGGUUCACUUUAACACUGAGGCGUGA
rnacentral:rRNA from 1 species